GAUGAACGCUGGCGGCGUGCUUAACACAUGCAAGUCGAACGGUGAAGCAGGAGCUUACUCUUGUGGAUCAGUGGCGAACGGGUGAGUAACACGUGGGCAACCUGCCCCUGACUCUGGGAUAAGCGCUGGAAACGGCGUCUAAUACUGGAUAUGAGAUGUGACCGCAUGGUCUGCAUCUGGAAAGAAUUUCGGUUGGGGAUGGGCUCGCGGCCUAUCAGCUUGUUGGUGAGGUAAUGGCUCACCAAGGCGUCGACGGGUAGCCGGCCUGAGAGGGUGACCGGCCACACUGGGACUGAGACACGGCCCAGACUCCUACGGGAGGCAGCAGUGGGGAAUAUUGCACAAUGGGCGGAAGCCUGAUGCAGCAACGCCGCGUGAGGGAUGACGGCCUUCGGGUUGUAAACCUCUUUUAGCAGGAAAGAAGCGAAAGUGACGGUACCUGCAGAAAAAGCACCGGCUAACUACGUGCCAGCCGCCGCGGUAA
rnacentral:rRNA from 1 species